GGCCAGACUCCUACGGGAGGCAGCAGUGGGGGAUAUUGCACAAUGGGGGGAACCCUGAUGCAGCGACGCCGCGUGGGUGAAGAAGCGCCUCGGCGCGUAAAGCCCUGUCAGCAGGGAAGAAAAUGACGGCACCUGAAGAAGAAGCCCCGGCUAACUACGUGCCAGCAGCCGCGGUAAUACGUAGGGGGCAAGCGUUAUCCGGAUUUACUGGGUGUAAAGGGGGCGCAGACGGCGAUGCAAGCCAGGAGUGAAAGCCCGGGGCCCAACCCCGGGACUGCUCUUGGAACUGCGUGGCUGGAGUGCAGGAGGGGCAGGCGGAAUUCCUGGUGUAGCGGUGAAAUGCGUAGAUAUCAGGAGGAACACCGGUGGCGAAGGCGGCCUGCUGGACUGCAACUGACGUUGAGGCCCGAAAGCGUGGGGAGCAAACAGGAUUAGAUACCCCGGUA
rnacentral:rRNA from 1 species